CCUACGGGGCGCAGCAGUCGAGAAUCAUUCACAAUGGGGGAAACCCUGAUGGUGCGACGCCGCGUGGGGGAAUGAAGGUCUUCGGAUUGUAAACCCCUGUCAUGUGGGAGCAAAUUAAAAAGAUAGUACCACAAGAGGAAGAGACGGCUAACUCUGUGCCAGCAGCCGCGGUAAUACAGAGGUCUCAAGCGUUGUUCGGAAUCACUGGGCGUAAAGCGUGUGUAGGCUGUUUCGUAAGUCGUGUGUGAAAGGCGCGGGCUCAACCCGCGGACGGCACAUGAUACUGCGAGACUAGAGUAAGGGAGGGGGAACCGGAAUUCUCGGUGUAGCAGUGAAAUGCGUAGAUAUCGAGAGGAACACUCGUGGCGAAGGCGGGUUCCUGGACAUUAACUGACGCUGAGGCACGAAGGCCAGGGGAGCGAAAGGGAUUAGAUACCCUUGUAGUC
rnacentral:rRNA from 1 species